CCUACGGGAGGCAGCAGUAGGGAAUUUUCCACAAUGGGCGAAAGCCUGAUGGAGCAACGCCGCGUGGGUGAAGAAGGUCUUCGGAUCGUAAAACCCUGUUGUUAGAGAAGAAAGUGCGUGAGAGUAACUGUUCACGUUUCGACGGUAUCUAACCAGAAAGCCACGGCUAACUACGUGCCAGCAGCCGCGGGAAUACGUAGGUGGCAAGCGUUAUCCGGAUUUAUUGGGCGUAAAGGGAACGCAGGCGGUCUUUUAAGUCUGAUGUGAAAGCCUUCGGCUUAACCGGAGUAGUGCAUUGGAAACUGGGAGACUUGAGUGCAGAAGAGGAGGGUGGAACUCCAGGUGUAGCGGUGAAAUGCGUAGAUAUAUGGAAGAACACCAGUGGCGAAAGCGGCUCGCUGGUCUGUAACUGACGCUGAGGUUCGAAAGCGUGGGUAGCAAACAGGAUUAGAUACCCCUGUAGUC
rnacentral:rRNA from 1 species